rnacentral:rRNA from 1 species
GACGAACGCUGGCGGCGUGCUUAACACAUGCCAGUCGAACGCUGAAGCUUGGUGCUUGCACUGGGUGGAUGAGUGGCGAACGGGUGAGUAAUACGUGAGUAACCUGCCCUUGACUCUGGGAUAAGCCUGGGAAACUGGGUCUAAUACUGGAUAUGACAUGCCACUGCAUGGUGGUGUGUGGAAAGGGUUUUACUGGUUUUGGAUGGGCUCACGGCCUAUCAGCUUGUUGGUGGGGUAAUGGCCUACCAAGGCGACGACGGGUAGCCGGCCGGAGGGGGUGACCGGCAACCCUGGGACUGAGCCACGGCCCAGACUCCUACGGGAGGCAGCAGUGGGGAAUAUUGCACAAUGGGCGGAAGCCUGAUGCAGCGACGCCGCGUGAGGGAUGACGGCCUUCGGGUUGUAAACCUCUUUCAGCACGGAAGAAGCGAGAGUGACGGUACGUGCAGAAGAAGCGCCGGCUAACUACGUG